rnacentral:rRNA from 1 species
UACGAAGGGGGCUAGCGUUACUCGGAUUGACUGGGCGUAAAGGGCGCGUAGGCGGCCGAUCAAGUCAGGCGUGAAAUUCCCGGGCUCAACCUGGGGGCUGCGCUUGAUACUGAUUGGCUUGAAUGCGGGAGAGGAUAGUGGAAUUCCCAGUGUAGAGGUGAAAUUCGUAGAUAUUGGGAAGAACACCGGUGGCGAAGGCGGCUAUCUGGCCCGUAAUUGACGCUGAGGCGUGAAAGCGUGGGGAGCAAACAGG